rnacentral:lncRNA from 1 species
CCACGAGAAGUUGGUCAAUGGACAAAUGGAGGUGCGACGCUCUGAGCCACCAUUAAACGACAGAUACAGAUCCAGAGAAUCCACGGCGGACACAGGCCUUUCUUUUCUGAGGGCCCACAGAUACCAGAUUUCCUUGUGCUCAGCCUGGGCCCACGCACCAGGUAAGUUGUACGUGUCAGGUGCUGAUUGGGUUGGACCCCUGGUCCCUUAGAUUGGGCUCCGGCC